UACGAAGGGGGCUAGCGUUGCUCGGAAUCACUGGGCGUAAAGCGCACGUAGGCGGAUUGUUAAGUCAGGGGUGAAAUCCUGGAGCUCAACUCCAGAACUGCCUUUGAUACUGGCGAUCUGGAGUCCGGGAGAGGUGAGUGGAACUGCGAGUGUAGAGGUGAAAUUCGUAGAUAUUCGCAAGAACACCAGUGGCGAAGGCGGCUCACUGGCCCGGUACUGACGCUGAGAUGCGAAAGCGUGGGGAGCAAACAGG
rnacentral:rRNA from 1 species